rnacentral:rRNA from 1 species
UGAGCAACCUGCCCUUCUCUUCGGAAUAAGCGUUGGAAACGACGUCUAAUGCCGAAUACGACCUCCUUUCGCAUGAUCGGAGGUGGAAAGCUCCGGCGGAGAAGGAUGAGCUCGCGGCCUAUCAGCUAGUUGGUGUGGGUAAUGGCCCACCAAGGCGACGACGGGUAGCCGGCCUGGAGAGGGUGACCGGCCACACGUGGGACUGAGACACGGCCCAGACUCCGUACGGGAGCAGCAGG